rnacentral:rRNA from 1 species
AACGAACGCUGGCGGCAGGCUUAACACAUGCAAGUCGAGCGCCCCGCAAGGGGAGCGGCAGACGGGUGAGUAACGCGUGGGAACGUACCCUUUACUACGGAAUAGCUCCGGGAAACUGGAAUUAAUACCGUAUGUGCCCUUCGGGGGUAAGAUUUAUCGGUAAAGGAUCGGCCCGCGUUGGAUUAGCUAGUUGGUGGGGUAAAGGCCUACCAAGGCGACGAUCCAUAGCUGGUCUGAGAGGAUGAUCAGCCACAUUGGGACUGAGACACGGCCCAAACUCCUACGGGAGGCAGCAGUGGGGAAUAUUGGACAAUGGGCGCAAGCCUGAUCCAGCCAUGCCGCGUGAGUGAUGAAGGCCUUAGGGUUGUAAAGCUCUUUCACCGAUGAAGAUAAUGACGGUAGUCGGAGAAGAAGCCCCGGCUAACUUCGUGCCAGCCGCCGCUGUAACAC